UGCAGUCGAGCGGAGUGAUGGUGCUUGCACUAUCACUUAGCGGCGGACGGGUGAGUAAUGCUUAGGAAUCUGCCUAUUAGUGGGGGACAACAUUUCGAAAGGAAUGCUAAUACCGCAUACGUCCUACGGGAGAAAGCAGGGGAUCUUCGGACCUUGCGCUAAUAGAUGAGCCUAAGUCGGAUUAGCUAGUUGGUGGGGUAAAGGCCUACCAAGGCGACGAUCUGUAGCGGGUCUGAGAGGAUGAUCCGCCACACUGGGACUGAGACACGGCCCAGACUCCUACGGGAGGCAGCAGUGGGGAAUAUUGGACAAUGGGCGCAAGCCUGAUCCAGCCAUGCCGCGUGUGUGAAGAAGGCCUUAUGGUUGUAAAGCACUUUAAGCGAGGAGGAGGCUACUGAAGUUAAUACCUUCAGAUAGUGGACGUUACUCGCAGAAUAAGCACCGGCUAACUCUGUGCCAGCAGCCGCGGUAAUACAGAGGGUGCAAGCGUUAAUCGGAUUUACUGGGCGUAAAGCGCGCGUAGGCGGCUAAUUAAGUCAAAUGUGAAAUCCCCGAGCUUAACUUGGGAAUUGCAUUCGAUACUGGUUAGCUAGAGUGUGGGAGAGGAUGGUAGAAUUCCAGGUGUAGCGGUGAAAUGCGUAGAGAUCUGGAGGAAUACCGAUGGCGAAGGCAGCCAUCUGGCCUAACACUGACGCUGAGGUGCGAAAGCAUGGGGAGCAAACAGGAUUAGAUACCCUGGUAGUCCAUGCCGUAAACGAUGUCUACUAGCCGUUGGGGCCUUUGAGGCUUUAGUGCCCUUAGCUACGCGAUAAGUAGACCGCCUGGGGAGUACGGUCCGCAAGACUAAAACUCACAUGAAUUGACAGGAUCCCCCCGAAUCUGCGGAGCACGCGGUUUAAUUCGAUGCAAUGCCGAAUAACCUUCCCUGGCUUUGACA
rnacentral:rRNA from 1 species